rnacentral:rRNA from 1 species
CUACGGGGUGCAGCAGUGGGGAAUAUUGGACAAUGGGCGAAAGCCUGAUCCAGCCAUGCCGCGUGGAUGAAGAAGGCCCUAGGGUUGUAAAGUCCUUUCGGUGGUGAAGAUAAUGACGGUAACCACAGAAGAAGCCCCGGCUAAUUUCGUGCCAGCAGCCGCGGUAAUACGAAAGGGGCUAGCGUUGUUCGGAAUUACUGGGCGUAAAGCGCACGUAGGCGGCCUUGUAAGUUGGGGGUGAAAUCCCGGAGCUCAACUCCGGAACUGCCUUCAAAACUACAAAGCUAGAGGAUGUGAGAGGAUAGUGGAAUGCCGAGUGUAGAGGUGAAAUUCGUAGAUAUUCGGAAGAACACCGGUGGCGAAGGCGACUGUCUGGCACAUUUCUGACGCUGAGGUGCGAAAGCGUGGGGAGCAAACAGGAUUAGAUACCCCCGUAGUC